UACGUAGGGGGCAAGCGUUGUCCGGAUUUAUUGGGCGUAAAGAGCGUGUAGGCGGCCUGAAAGGUCAGCUGUGAAAACUCGAGGCUCAACCUCGAGACGUCGGUUGAAACCAUCUGGCUAGAGUCCGGAAGAGGAGUGUGGAAUUCCCGGUGUAGCGGUGGAAUGCGCAGAUAUCAGGAGGAACACCGGUGGCGAAGGCGGGUCUCUGGGCCGAUACUGACGCUGAGGAGCGAAAGCGUGGGGAGCGAACAGG
rnacentral:rRNA from 1 species